rnacentral:rRNA from 1 species
CACGUAGGGUGCGAGCGUUGUCCGGAAUUAUUGGGCGUAAAGAGCUCGUAGGCGGUUUGUUGCGUCGGCUGUGAAAACCCGGGGCUCAACCCCGGGCCUGCAGCCGAUACGGGCAGACUAGAGUUCGGCAGGGGAGACUGGAAUUCCUGGUGUAGCGGUGAAAUGCGCAGAUAUCAGGAGGAACACCGGUGGCGAAGGCGGGUCUCUGGGCCGAUACUGACGCUGAGGAGCGAAAGCGUGGGGAGCGAACAGG